GGUUCUACUGACUGAAGUGAUCCUAUCUUGUGACUCAUGCAUGGCACGUCUAUAAGUCAAGCUGGAAUCCUCUAAAAUAAGUCACAUGGGAAAAAAUUCUGAUCUUAUUCUAGACGAAGAAUGAAAAGCCAGGAAGCUACAUAACCCAAGGUAACAAAUUAAAAAAUUAAAAUAUCAUAUCCCAAAAUGGAAAUAAAACAGAUAGAAUGCCGAGUAUAUAUUAAAUAAGGCAAGCUAUUUAUGAUGAGCUAACUCACUUGCAAGUUACCAGAGAGCAUGGAGUAAAUCCUUUAUUUCUCAUGUCCUCAUUGUGCCUAAGACUGCGUUUCUGUACACACAUUAAAAAAACAGGAAAUCAAUGGUUCCCAAUGGUGAUGUGUGAACUCUUCAGGAUCUGGAGGAACAUUAUUAAAUUGCUCCAUUAGCUUUCUCUUGUUUGGGUUGAAAAUAAAAAUUGUGAUGCCA
rnacentral:lncRNA from 10 species